rnacentral:rRNA from 1 species
UGGGAGAGCACAGGGCCCCAGACACCCUAUGUGAACUUAUACCUUAUUGUUGCCUCGGCGCAUGCUGGUCCUCCGGGGCCCCUCACCCCCGGGUGUUGAGACGGCACGCCGGCGGCCAACCCAACUCUUGUUUUUACACUGAAACUCUGAGCACAAAACAUAAAUGAAUCAAAACUUUCAACAACGGAUCUCUUGGUUCUGGCAUCGAUGAAGAACGCAGCGAAAUGCGAUAAGUAAUGUGAAUUGCAGAAUUCAGUGAAUCAUCGAAUCUUUGAACGCACAUUGCGCCCUCUGGUAUUCCGGAGGGCAUGCCUGUUCGAGCGUCAUUUCAACCCUCAAGCCUGGCUUGGUGAUGGGGCACUGCCUGUAAAAGGGCAGGCCCUGAAAUUCAGUGGCGAGCUCGCCAGGACCCCGAGCGCAGUAGUUAAACCCUCGCUUUGGAAGGCCCUGGCGGUGCCCUGCCGUUAAACCCCCAACUUCUGAAAAUUUGACCUCGGAUCAGGUA